rnacentral:rRNA from 4 species
UGGUCAAGUUAUUAAGGGUGCAGGGCGGAUGCCUUGGCACUAGGAGCCGAUGAAGGACGUGAUAAGCUGCGAUAAGCUUCGGGGAGUUGCACGUAAACUUUGAUCCGAAGAUUUCCGA